GGACUACAGGGGUAUCUAAUCCUGUUUGCUCCCCACGCUUUCGCGUCUCAGCGUCAGCAAAGAUCCAGCAAGUCGCCUUCGCCACUGGUGUUCCUGCGAAUAUCUACGAAUUUCACCUCUACACUCGCAAUUCCACUUGCCUCUAUCUUGCUCCAGGUCGCCAGUCUUGAAGGCAGUUCCGGAGUUGAGCUCCGGGAUUUCACCCCCAACUUAACGACCCGCCUACACGCGCUUUACGCCCAGUAAAUCCGAACAACGCUAGCCCCCUUCGUAUUACCGCGGCUGCUGGCAC
rnacentral:rRNA from 1 species